rnacentral:rRNA from 1 species
GCAAACAGGAUUAGAUACCCUGGUAGUCCACGCCGUAAACGAUGUCGACUUGGAGGUUGUGCCCUUGAGGCGUGGCUUCCGGAGCUAACGCGUUAAGUCGACCGCCUGGGGAGUACGGCCGCAAGGUUAAAACUCAAAUGAAUUGACGGGGGCCCGCACAAGCGGUGGAGCAUGUGGUUUAAUUCGAUGCAACGCGAAGAACCUUACCUGGCCUUGACAUCCACGGAAUUCGGCAGAGAUGCCUUAGUGCCUUCGGGAACCGUGAGACAGGUGCUGCAUGGCUGUCGUCAGCUCGUGUUGUGAAAUGUUGGGUUAAGUCCCGCAACGAGCGCAACCCUUAUCCUUUGUUGCCAGCGAGUAAUGUCGGGAACUCAAAGGAGACUGCCGGUGACAAACCGGAGGAAGGUGGGGAUGACGUCAAGUCAUCAUGGCCCUUACGGCCAGGGCUACACACGUGCUACAAUGGCGCAUACAAAGAGAAGCGAACUCGCGAGAGCAAGCGGACCUCACAAAGUGCGUCGUAGUCCGGAUCGGAGUCUGCAACUCGACUCCGUGAAGUCGGAAUCGCUAGUAAUCGUAGAUCAGAAUGCUACGGUGAAUACGUUCCCGGGCCUUGUACACACCGCCCGUCACACCAUGGGAGUGGGUUGCAAAAGAAGUAGGUAGCUUAACCUUCGGGAGGGCGCUUACCACUUUGUGAUUCAUGACUGGGGUGAAGUCGUAACAAGGUA